rnacentral:rRNA from 1 species
GAUGAACGCUGGCGGCAUGCCUAAUACAUGCAAGUCGAGCGAAUGGAUUAAGAGCUUGCUCUUAUGAAGUUAGCGGCGGACGGGUGAGUAACACGUGGGUAACCUGCCCAUAAGACUGGGAUAACUCCGGGAAACCGGGGCUAAUGCCGGAUAACAUUUUGAACCGCAUGGUUCGAAAUUGAAAGGCGGCUUCGGCUGUCACUUAUGGAUGGACCCGCGUCGCAUUAGCUAGUUGGUGAGGUAACGGCUCACCAAGGCAACGAUGCGUAGCCGACCUGAGAGGGUGAUCGGCCACACUGGGACUGAGACACGGCCCAGACUCCUACGGGAGGCAGCAGUAGGGAAUCUUCCGCAAUGGACGAAAGUCUGACGGAGCAACGCCGCGUGAGUGAUGAAGGCUUUCGGGUCGUAAAACUCUGUUGUUAGGGAAGAACAAGUGCUAGUUGAAUAAGCUGGCACCUUGACGGUACCUAACCAGAAAGCCACGGCUAACUACGUGCCAGCAGCCGCGGUAC